rnacentral:rRNA from 1 species
GACGAACGCUGGCGGCGUGCUUAACACAUGCAAGUCGAGCGGUAAGGCCCUUUCGGGGGUACGACGAGCGGCGAACGGGUGAGUAACACGUGGGUGACCUGCCCUCAGCUCUGGGAUAAGCCUGGGAAACGUGGGUCGUAAUACCGGAUAUGACUCCACGGCGUAUGUUGUGGGGUGGAAAGCCUUGUGUGGCUAGAGAUGGGCCCGCGGCCUAUCAGCUUGUUGGUGGGGUGAGGCCUACCAAGGCGACGACGGGUAGCCGGCCUGAGAGGGCGACCGGCCACACUGGGACUGAGACGCGGCCCAGACUCCUACGGGAGGCAGCAGUGGGGAAUCUUGCGCAAUGGGCGAAAGCCUGACGCAGCGACGCCGCGUGAGGGAUGACGGCCUGG